rnacentral:lncRNA from 1 species
CUUAUCUAGAUUUUUCUCCUGAGCCUCAGGAAUGGGUAGCUCGUGGCCUAUGGAGAAGACCCACUGGGGGUUCCUAAGGCAUGUUAGCCUCAGUGUGAGCAAAACCGAAGGCACCCUCCUCUCUUCCAUACCUACGUAUGUUCCCAUGAGCUCCAGCACCUGCCUUGUUGACCUGGGAGGGUCUGUACUCCACUCCCUGCCCCCCCAACCCCGCCCAUGCCCCUGCUUUUGUUUAUACAGAGUGAUCAGACUAAGGAUUUGGCCUCCCCUGUACCCCUCUUUCAUCCUGCCUGCCGGCCUUCAACCAGCCCUCAUCAGUUCUCUGUCAGAUUUUGUUAGCAUCUCCAUCUUGGCCUCGCAGCUGGAGACAGAUGGAAAGGUGGAUACGUUUUAGGGUGAUUUGUUGCACUGCAAUGGAGAACCAAUACAAAGGCCUAGGCACCUUGGACCUCACCCCACAUACCAGAGCGAGGCUUGAGAGUCAACUAUUCCAGCAUCAUUUGCAGGUCAGAAUAAGACUUCUGGUAAGCUGCUCACUUGGGAUCAACUGAGGAUAUGGUCAGCCUUCAGCUCAAAGAUCCUCAGAGCAUACAGCUGGAAGGGAUGGGGCAAUAUGAGUGUGUGUGUGUGUGUGUGUGUGUGUACACAUGUGGAGUGUAUAUAUGUAUAUGUGUGAAUCAGGGUUGUUUCCUUGCUUCCUUGUGCCAUCUAUAAGGGGAAAAGACCAGUUUGCUCUACCUUCUGCCUCCAGAGUUGACUAUGAGCCCUACUUUAUUUAUGAUACUUCCUCAGAAGGUUUUUUUUUUGUAGAGUUAACAUUUAACAUUAUAUAAAUUUCAGGUAUGUGUUUUUCAAACUAGAUUUUACUUUUUUAAAAAAUAUGUUAUUUAUUUGAGAGACAGAGACAGAGACAGAGAGUGGACACAGGCAGGGAGAGGGAGAAGCAUACCCCUCCCCGAACAAGGAGCAGGACAUGGGGCUCAAUCCCAGGACCCCGAGAUCAUGACCUGAGCCGAAAGCAGAUGCGUAACAGACUGAGCCACCCAAGUGCCCCUUAAACUAUAUUUUACUUUUUAAGAGCAGUUUUAAUUUCACAGAAAAAGUGAGUGGAAGGUACAGAGAUUUCUUACAUAUACUCCCUGCCCUUACAUACGCGCAACCUGGGCAUUAUCAACAUCCCCCACCGGAGUGAGACGUGUUACAACCGGGGAACUUCCAUAAACAAGUCAUAAUCACCCAAAGCCCAUAGUUUACAUUAGGGUUUUCUCUUGAUGUUAUACGUUCUGUGGGUUUGAACAGAUGCGUAAUGACUUAUAUCCACCAUGCAGAGUAGUUUCCCUGCCCUAAGAAUCCUCUGUGCUCUGCUCGUUCAUCUCUCCCUCCUGGACACAGGCUUUAUUUUCCAUGCCAUACCUUCUUCACUGAAUCUGUACCAUGUGCGGGUAUUGCUUUUGUGCUUCAUUUGUUACUUAUGUAGAGUAGUGAUUGGCAGUAAGGAAGUGGAGAAAAACAGUGCAGACUAACCUCUAAAGAACUUCGGCAGAAGGGAAGUGACAAUAGGGCGAUAGUUUAAGGAAAUAGCAGGGUUGAGAAAAGUCUUUAGUAUGAGGGAGCCUUGAGGACAUUUUUAAAAUUUGUUUUUGCAGAGAAAGCAAGCAGUUGAAGGGGGGAAAUAUAAGUGAAAAAGAGGGUGGCUGAUGGAGCAAGGUCACAGACUAGAACUGAGGGCAGGGGACAGAGGGCAGGCAGUGGGGUUGACCUUGGGGAGAAGGAGGGGCACAUCUUCAGGAUGAAUGCCUGGGUGGUAGGGACAGACGUGGGGGGUGCUUCCGGGCAAGCCCAGGAGGCACAGUGAGAGCCCGAGGGACAGGGGACUCUAGACUCUGACACGUGGCUGAAACAGCCAGGCAUGGGCUCCAGGCUGGAGAGGAGGCAGGGGUAGGCAGGAGAAGAUCACAAAAGAGCGGAAUGGGAUGAAUUGAGGGCCAAAUGAAGAUGAGAAUCUAGUUCAGUAGCAGGGAUUUAAAACAUUAAAAAAAAAAAAAAAGUUAUGCUCAAUGACAGGAAAUUCAGGCUCCUAGGCAAACAGUUGGUGGAUAGUUGACUCUGUGACCAAAUAGGAGCAGCUGAAACAAAAUAAUAAAGUUAAAAGCCAUUUCAAGCCUUUCUUGGGAAACACAACUUUACUUUGGCUGUACUGACCCUACAACUAACUGAGGUCCGAGGUCUGUUUGCCCGGGGAGGCCGGACUAGAGGAAAGCAAACCGCCUAGGUCAAGGAGUUACCAGUGCAUCCAAACCUUAAAUUCCUGAUCUCAGAUUAUCAAUUAAUUGUACAGCACCUGCCUUCUAUGGAAGUAGAGGCUACGUCCAGGUGCAACCGGUUGCAAAAACCAUUCCUUCCACCUGAGAUGAGAUGCUGACAGGCAGUGAAUCACAGGGACAGAGCACCUGCGGGGGAAAGGACAGCUGGGCCCACCCGGAGGCACAGGCGUGUGGAGCUGCCACUGGGAGUGACUGGCCCGGAGGUGCUUGAGAUAAACCUGAAAGGAGCUGAAGCUGGAAAAUAAAGAUCUGAGCUGACAGGAACUAUAGAGCAAAAUCUCCAGGUAAAUCAAGUGGAAACAGCUGCCCAGGGGCCCUCCCUCCACCCGCUUGGGCCCUGCGUCCUGUCUCCACACGGCAACCGCUGGUUUCGUGAUUCCUCCACAAAACGUGAGGCUCCACCGAAGACAGGUGACAGGUGUAUGGAGUAAGAAUGUUCUUCAGUGGGCUUCUGGUUAAUACAUUUUGGCGCAUCCAAAUGAUGGAACAGGAUGCAGCUGUUAAUAAUGAGGGAGCUAUGUCUGUGCUGAGGUUUCUAGGGUCUGAAAAAUCAAACUGCAGAAUCACGUAUGCAGGACAGUAUCUUUUGUGUGAAGGUCACAAUGUAGGCUAUGAGGGUAUCUAUGCGAGCGUGUGUGAUGUGUAUGCGUGUAUGUGGAUGAGCUCCCCCGUCCAUACAACAUAACGUGAAAGGUUUCCAAGUGAAAAACCAAGUUAAAAUCAAGUCUUAAACGUUGCAAAAUAAUAUCUAUAAAAUGAGAAAUAAAAAGUGACAUAGGUGCAUGGAUCCAUGUACUACAUAUGACAUCAGUGCCUAGAAAGGGGCCUUGCAAGUGGUGGGCAGUGUGGCCUCUGGGGAGGAAAGUGGCCGUGGGAGGGAUGGUGCCGGGUUUCAGCAUUGCUCUGUAGUCUUCUAUAGUAUUUGAAACAAAUGAAACACUGUAUUCAUGUCUUACUUAUGUAAGAAAAAAAAAAAAAAGAAACAGGGGCACCUGGGUGGCUCAGUGGUUCAGCAUCUGCCUUUGGCUCAGGGCGUGAUCCUGGAGUCCCGGGGUCGAGUCCCACCUCAGGCUACCUGCAUGGAGCCUGCUUCUCCCUCUGCCUCUCUCAAUCUCUCUCCUCUCUCUCUCUCUGUGUGUGUGUGUGUGUGUGUGUGUGUGAGUGACUCAGGAAUAACUAAAUAAAAUCUUAAAAAAAAAAAAAAGAGAAGAAAUAAUAAGGACCAAAAAUGAAAGUUGCAUAGUCACUCUCAAUACCCUCCUGGGAACCCAGAGACCCAGAAGGUGGUAGUACAGACAUGAGGGGACACAGCCCACAUUUAGUAACCCUGCCUCUGCUGGGAGCUGACCGACAGAGGGGCCUAACGGACAGAGGGAAUGGCCCAGGCCCAAGUCCCCCACUUCGCAGCCACGGGGCUAGCAGGCUGGGCCAGAGAGUCUCUGUCAAUCAGUGGGUGAGGGUGACUGGGGGCUCCGCUUCCGAUACCUGUUACUGCGGGGUGACCCAGGAGCAGGAAGAGCCCUGACGCUAAAAGGGGACAUUGGCAUCCAAAUGUGUUGGUCUAGGGGCACCUGGUGGCUCAGUCAGUUAAGCAUCUGCCUCGGGCUCAGAUCAUGAUCUCAGGGUCCUGGGAUUGAGCCCCAAGUAGGCCUCCCCGCUCAGUGGGAGUCUGCUUCUCCCUCUGCUUCUGUCCUCCUCCCUCUCUCAACUACAUUAAUAAAAUCUUUAAAAAAUAAUAAUAAACGUAUUUUUCUG